AUAUUAGAAUAAUAAUUAUAUUAUAUAUAAUUAAGUAGUGCCGAGGGCUAAGGCCCGAACACGUUAAACGUUUAUUCGUGUACGAUCCUCUGCGAGUUGUUUAUCUUCACAGCAGAUUACGUGAGUAAGGGUUUGGAGCAUUUAUAAAAUGGGCCAAUUUUGUUUAUGCUU
ncrna:unclassified sequences OTKONC RNA